rnacentral:misc_RNA from 1 species
AACGCACAUUGCGCCCCCUGGCAUUCCGGGGGGCAUGUCUGUUUGAGAACCUUGACGUCCCUCACCCCCCCCUCUCGUGUCCGCACGAGGUUGGGAGGUGGAUCUGGGCCAACCUCGCACUCGCUGUGGGGUGGCCUGAAAGUCAAGAUCGGCAGUCGCCGCGGGUCAAACCUCCGCAGCGCCGCACAACAAGACGUGCCAGUGAGAUUUUCUCAUCCAGCGUCGGACCGUGUGGCAUGCGGGCCAUGGGUUUGCAUCCAUCGCUCGAUCACUCGAGAGAGGCAUUGUCGACUCACUAGUCGCCAGGCGAGACGCCUCACCGCGCCUCGUAGACCUGAACACCUGGUCUCAAAUCAGACAAGACGACCCGCUGAACUUAA